GCCUGGAUGGCUCAGUCCGUUAAGCGUCUGACUUUAGCUCAGAUCAUGAUCUCACCAUUCGUGAGUUCGAUCCCCAACGUCAGGCU
rnacentral:tRNA from 1 species